rnacentral:rRNA from 1 species
UGGGGAAUUUUGGACAAUGGGCGAAAGCCUGAUCCAGCAAUGCCGCGUGUGUGAAGAAGGCCUUCGGGUUGUAAAGCACUUUUGUCCGGAAAGAAAUCCUUGGCUCUAAUACAGUCGGGGGAUGACGGUACCGGAAGAAUAAGCACCGGCUAACUACGUGCCAGCAGCCGCGGUAAUACGUAGGGUGCAAGCGUUAAUCGGAAUUACUGGGCGUAAAGCGUGCGCAGGCGGUUUGCUAAGACCGAUGUGAAAUCCCCGGGCUCAACCUGGGAACUGCAUUGGUGACUGGCAGGCUAGAGUAUGGCAGAGGGGGGUAGAAUUCCACGUGUAGCAGUGAAAUGCGUAGAGAUGUGGAGGAAUACCGAUGGCGAAGGCAGCCCCCUGGGCCAAAUACUGACGCUCAUGCACGAAAGCGUGGGGAGCAAACAGGAUUAGAUACCCUGGUAGUCCACGCCCUAAAACGAUGUCAACUAGUUGUUGGGGAUUCAUUUCCUUAGUAACGUAGCUAACGCGUGAAGUUGACCGCCUGGGGGAGUACGGUCGCAAGAUUAAAACUCAAAUGAAUUGACGGGGUCAUAGCUGUUUCCU